UGGGGAAUCUUGCACAAUGGGGGAAACCCUGAUGCAGCGACGCCGCGUGAGUGAAGAAGGCCUUCGGGUUGUAAAGCUCUUUUGUCAGGGAAGAAAUAGUCUGGGUUAAUACCCUGGGCGGAUGACGGUACCUGAAGAAUAAGCACCGGCUAACUACGUGCCAGCAGCCGCGGUAAUACGUAGGGUGCGAGCGGUAAUCGGAAUUACUGGGCGUAAAGCGUGCGCAGGCGGUUGUAUAAGUCAGAUGUGAAAUCCCCGGGCUCAACCUGGGAACUGCAUUUGAGACUGUACGGCUAGAGUGUGGCAGAGGGGGGUAGAAUUCCACGUGUAGCAGUGAAAUGCGUAGAGAUGUGGAGGAAUACCGAUGGCGAAGGCAGCCCCCUGGGUUACUACUGACGCUCAUGCACGAAAGCGUGGGGAGCAAACA
rnacentral:rRNA from 1 species